rnacentral:rRNA from 1 species
GACGAACGCUGGCGGCGUGCCUAAUACAUGCAAGUAGAACGCUGAAGGAGGAGCUUGCUCUUCUGGAUGAGUUGCGAACGGGUGAGUAACGCGUAGGUAACCUGCCUGGUAGCGGGGGAUAACUAUUGGAAACGAUAGCUAAUACCGCAUAACAGUAGAUGUUGCAUGACAUUUACUUAAAAGGUGCAAUUGCAUCACUACCAGAUGGACCUGCGUUGUAUUAGCUAGUUGGUGGGGUAACGGCUCACCAAGGCGACGAUACAUAGCCGAGCUGGGAGGGUGAUCGGCCACACUGGGACUGAGACACGGCCCAGACUCCUACGGGAGGCAGCAGUAGGGAAUCUUCGGCAAUGGACGGAAGUCUGACCGAGCAACGCCGCGUGAGUGAAGAAGGUUUUCGGAUCGUAAAGCUCUGUUGUAAGAGAAGAACGAGUGUGAGAGUGGAAAGUUCACACUGUGACGGUAUCUUACCAGAAAGGGACGGCUAACUACGUG